GAUGAACGCUGGCGGCGUGCCUAAUACAUGCGAGUCGAGCGAACGGACGAGAAGCUUGCUUCUCUGAUGUUAGCGGCGGACGGGUGAGUAACACGUGGAUAACCUACCUAUAAGACUGGGAUAACUUCGGGAAACCGGAGCUAAUACCGGAUAAUAUUUUGAACCGCAUGGUUCAAAAGUGAAAGACGGUCUUGCUGUCACUUAUAGAUGGAUCCGCGCUGCAUUAGCUAGUUGGUAAGGUAACGGCUUACCAAGGCAACGAUGCAUAGCCGACCUGAGAGGGUGAUCGGCCACACUGGAACUGAGACACGGUCCAGACUCCUACGGGAGGCAGCAGUAGGGAAUCUUCCGCAAAGGGCGAAAGCCUGACGGAGCAACGCCGCGUGAGUGAUGAAGGUCUUCGGAUCGUAAAACUCUGUUAUUAGGGAAGAACAUAUGUGUAAGUAACUGUGCACAUCUUGACGGUACCUAAUCAGAAAGCCACGGCUAACUACGUG
rnacentral:rRNA from 1 species